rnacentral:rRNA from 1 species
CCUACGGGUGGCAGCAGUGAGGAAUAUUGGUCAAUGGACGAGAGUCUGAACCAGCCAAGUAGCGUGAAGGAUGACUGCCCUAUGGAUUGUAAACUUCUUUUAUAUGGGAAUAAAAUGUUCCACGUGUGGGCUUUUGUAUGUAUCCUAUGAAUAAGGCUUGGCUAACUCUGUGCCAGCAGCCGCGGUAAUACGGCGGAUCCGAGCGUUAUCCGGGUUUAUUGGGUUUAAAGGGCGCGUAGGUGGAUUGUUAAGUCAGUUGUGAAAGUUUGCGGCUCAACCGUAAAAUUGCAGUUGAUACUGGCAGACUUGAGUGCAGGAGAGGUAGGCGGAAUUCGUGGUGUAGCGGUGAAAUGCUUAGAUAUCACGAAGAACCCCGAUUGCGAAGGCAGCUUACUAAACUGUGACUGACAUUGAUGCUCGAAAGUGUGGGGAUCAAACAGGAUUAGAUACCCGAGUAGUC